GGGGGUAUAGCUCAGUGGUAGAGCAUUUGACUGCAGAUCAAGAGGUCCCCGGUUUAAAUCUGGAUGCCCCCU
rnacentral:tRNA from 2 species